GGAGGAGUGCCGGAGCGGUUUAACGGCGCCGCCUCGAAAGCGGACGGCUCGCAAAAGCGGGCACGCAGGUUCGAAUCCUGCCUCCUCCG
rnacentral:tRNA from 1 species